GACAGAGGUCCCGAGCGUAGGCGGAAUCACUGGGCUUAAAGCGUGUGUAGGCGGAUUGGUAAGUACCUUGUGAAAUCCCACGGCUUAACCGUGGAACUGCUUGGUAUACUGCUUAUCUUGGGCCACUUAGGGGCUACCGGAACAAACGGUGGAGCGGUGAAAUGCGUAGAUAUCGUUUGGAACGCCAAUGGUGAAAACAGGUAGCUGGGAGUGUGCCGACGCUGAGACACGAAAGCCAGGGGAGCGAACGGG
rnacentral:rRNA from 1 species